rnacentral:rRNA from 1 species
GCGGCGGCCUAUACUGGCAGUCGAGCGGAUCUGAUGGAGCUUGGUCCCCAAGAUUAUCGGCGGACGGGUGAGUAACACGUGGGCGACCUGCCUGUGAGACAGGGAUAUCUUCUGGAAACCGGAGCUCAUACCGGAUAAUCCUUUUCUUUACAUGAGGAAAAGCUGAGAGAUGGGUUCGGCUAUCACUUACAGAUGGGCCCCCGGCGCAGUAUCUAGUUGGUGAGGUAACGGCUCACCAAGGCGACGAUGCGUAGCCGACCUGAGAGGGUGAUCGGCCACACUGGGACUGAGACACGGCCCACACUCCUACGGGAGGCGGCAGUAGGGAAUCUUCCGCAAUGGAGGAAAGUCUGACGGAGCAACGCCGCGUGAGUGAUGAAGGUUUUCGGAUCGUAAAACUCUGUUGUUAGGGAAGAACAAGUACCGGAGUAACUGCCGGUACCUUGACGGUGCCUAACCACAAAGCCACCGCUAACUACGUGCCGCCAGCCGCGGUAAUACGUAGGUGGCGAGCGUUGUCCGGAAUUAUUGGGGGUAAAGCGCGCGCAGGUGGUUUCUUAAGUCUGAUGUGAAAACCCCCGGCUCCACCGGGGAGGGGCAUUGGAAACUGGGGGACUUGAGUGCAGAAGAAGAAAGUGGAAUUCCUCGUGUAGCGGUGAAAUGCGUAGAGAUUUGGAGGAACACCAGUGGCGAAGGCGACUUUCUGGUGUGUAACUGACACUGAGCGCGAAGCGUGG